CCUACGGGAGGCAGCAGUGGGGGAUAUUGCACAAUGGGGGGAACCCUGAUGCAGCGACGCCGCGUGGGUGAAGAAGCGCCUCGGCGCGUAAAGCCCUGUCAGCAGGGAAGAAAAUGAAGGUACCUGAAGAAGAAGCCCCGGCUAACUACGUGCCAGCAGCCGCGGUAAUACGUAGGGGGCAAGCGUUAUCCGGAUUUACUGGGUGUAACGGGGGCGCAGACGGCGAUGCAAGCCAGGAGUGAAAGCCCGGGGCCCAACCCCGGGACUGCUCUUGGAACUGCGUGGCUGGAGUGCAGGAGGGGCAGGCGGAAUUCCUGGGGUAGCGGUGAAAUGCGUAGAUAUCAGGAGGAACACCGGUGGCGAAGGCGGCCUGCUGGACUGCAACUGACGUUGAGGCCCGAAAGCGUGGGGAGCAAACAGGAUUAGAUACCCGGGUAGUC
rnacentral:rRNA from 1 species